UACGAAGGGGACUAGCGUUGUUCGGAAUCACUGGGCUUAAAGCGUGUGUAGGCGGACUUCUAAGUGCCUUGUGAAAUCCCACGGCUCAACCGUGGAACUGCUGGGCAUACUGGGAGUCUUGGGCCAUUCAGGGGCAACUGGAACAAGCGGUGGAGCGGUGAAAUGCGUAGAUAUCGCUUGGAACGCCGAAGGUGAAAACAGGUUGCUGGGGAUGUGCCGACGCUGAGACACGAAAGCCAGGGGAGGCAAACGGG
rnacentral:rRNA from 1 species